rnacentral:piRNA from 1 species
UAAACACUACUCCCCAGCUGUUAUUUUC